rnacentral:tRNA from 1 species
GUCCCAGUAGCUCAGUGGAUAGAGCGCUACCCUGCGGAGGUAGAGGUCAGAGGUUCAAGUCCUCUCUGGGAUGCCU